rnacentral:rRNA from 1 species
CCUACGGGCAGCAGCAGUGAGGAAUAUUGGUCAAUGGACGAGAGUCUGAACCAGCCAAGUAGCGUGAAGGAUGACUGCCCUAUGGGUUGUAAACUUCUUUUAUAUGGGAAUAAAAUGUUCCACGUGUGGGAUUUUGUAUGUACCCUAUGAAUAAGGAUCGGCUAACUCCGUGCCAGCAGCCGCGGUAAUACGGAGGAUCCGAGCGUUAUCCGGAUUUAUUGGGGUUAAAGGGAGCGUAGGUGGAUUGUUAAGUCAGUUGUGAAAGUUUGCGGCUCAACCGUAAAAUUGCAGUUGAAACUGGCAGUCUGGAGUACAGUAGAGGUGGGCGGAAUUCGUGGUGUAGCGGUGAAAUGCUUAGAUAUCACGAAGAACUCCGAUUGCGAAGGCAGCUCACUGGACUGCAACUGACACUGAGGCUCGAAAGUGUGGGUAUCAAACAGGAUUAGAUACCCCGGUAGUC